rnacentral:rRNA from 1 species
UUUGAUCCUGGCUCAGGACGAACGCUGGCGGGCGUGCUUAACACAGCCAAGUCGAACGAAAUGAACUCAAAACAGAUUUCUUCGGAAUGAAAGUUUGGAUGAUUUAGUGGCGAACGGGUGAGUAACACGUGAGAAACCUGCCUUUCACAGAGGGAUAGCCGUUGGAAACGACGAUUAAUACCUCAUGACAUCAAGAUACCGCAUGGUAAUUUGAUUAAAGAUUUAUCGGUGAAAGAUGGUCUCGCGUCUGAUUAGCUAGUUGGUAAGGUAGUGGCUUACCAAGGCAACGAUCAGUAGCCGGCCUGAGAGGGUGAACGGCCACACUGGAACUGAGACACGGUCCAGACUCCUACGGGAGGCAGCAGUGGGGAAUUUUGCACAAUGGGGGAAACCCUGAUGCAGCGACGUCGCGUGAACGAUGAAGGCCUUCGGGUUGUAAAGUUCUGUCCUUGGCGAAGAUAAUGACAGUAGCCAAGAAGCAAGCCCCGGCUAAAUACGUGCCAGCAGCCGCGGUAAUACGUAUGGGGCGAGCGUUGUCCGGAAUUAUUGGGCGUAAAGGGUACGUAGGCGGUUAUGUGGGUCCGUAUUAAAAGGCAUUGGCUCAACCAAUGUUCGGUAUGGAAACUGCAUAACUUGAGUAGAUGAGGGGUAAGUGGAAUUCCUAGUGUAGCGGUGAAAUGCUUAGAUAUUAGGAGGAAUACCAGUGGCGAAGGCGACUUACUGGAAUCUAACUGACGCUGAGGUACGAAAGCGUGGGGAGCAAACAGGAUUAGAUACCCUGGUAGUCCACGCAGUAAACGAUGAGUGCUAGGUGUCGGGAGUCAAAUCUCGGCGCCGCCGCUAACGCA